rnacentral:rRNA from 1 species
CCUACGGGAGGCAGCAGUGAGGAAUAUUGGUCAAUGGGCGAGAGCCUGAACCAGCCAAGUCGCGUGAGGGAGUACUGCCCUAUGGGUUGUAAACCUCUUUUGUCGGGGAGCAAAAGCCGGACGUGUCCGGCUGUGAGAGUACCCGAAGAAAAAGCAUCGGCUAACUCCGUGCCAGCAGCCGCGGUAAUACGGAGGAUGCGAGGGUUAUCCCGAUUUAUUGGGUUUAAAGGGUGCGCAGGCGGAUUUUUAAGUCAGCGGUAAAAUCGUGGGGCUCAACCCCAUCCAGCCGUUGAAACUGGGGAUCUAGAGUGUGCGAGAGGUAUGCGGAAUGCGUGGUGUAGCGGUGAAAUGCAUAGAUAUCACGCAGAACCCCGAUUGCGAAGGCAGCAUACCGGUGCACAACUGACGCUCAGGCACGAAAGCGUGGGUAUCGAACAGGAUUAGAUACCCGAGUAGUC